rnacentral:rRNA from 1 species
AUUGAACGCUGGCGGCAUGCCUUACACAUGCAAGUCGAACGGCAGCACGGGUGCUUGCACCUGGUGGCGAGUGGCGAACGGGUGAGUAAUACAUCGGAACGUACCUUAUCGUGGGGGACAACGCAGCGAAAGCUGUGCUAAUACCGCAUACGCCCUGAGGGGGAAAGCGGGGGAUCGCAAGACCUCGCGCGAUUAGAGCGGCCGAUGCCUGAUUAGCUUGUUGGUGGGGUAAAAGCCCACCAAGGCGACGAUCAGUAGCUGGUCUGAGAGGACGAUCAGCCACACUGGGACUGAGACACGGCCCAGACUCCUACGGGAGGCAGCAGUGGGGAAUUUUGGACAAUGGGGGCAACCCCGAUCCAGCAAUGCCGCGUGAGUGAAGAAGGCCUUCGGGUUGUAAAGCUCUUUUGUCAGGGAAGAAACACCGGCUCUAACACAGUCUGGGAAUGACGGUACCUGAAGAAUAAGCACCGGCUAACUACGUGCCAGCAGCCGCGGUAA